GCGGAUUUGGAAACAAAGCAAAAGCGUUCUUUUGCACCAUUUCGCAUUUCGAGACUCCAGCCCUCCCAUACGGUGGUUAGUUGUUACGAAUUAUGAAGUGAAAUUUUGCUUUGAUUACUGUAUGGCAGCGCCUCUGUACAAGAUUGAAACGAGAGGUUCAUGAGUCACAUCGCUCACAUGAGUCACAUUGACUCUGCUGUUGUUCAGCUAUUGUGAUUUUUAAAAGAUGUAUUGCAAUCUUAAUCCCGUGGAAUAUUUCAAAUCCAUAUUGUGGACCCACCCCUAGUCCCAUAGAACUAUUAUACAACGUCACAAGAUCAAACAAAAUCAUGGUAAGGAAUGUAAGUUCUUGCCAUAAGAAAUUUAUAACGAAAACAUAAAAGCACUAACUUAGGCAAUUCAGAGGAUGUUACCUGGGUUAACUUUUCUCAAAUGUAGGUCAAAAUCAAAGGUCAUGAUUUCAAAUAUAAAAAAAGAAGUACAACAAAAACACUGUCAUGAUCGUGUGCAGGAUUGGACAAAACAAGAUGGCAGACAGUAGUUCCGAUAAACAUGCCAGAUUGGACCUCGAAAAACAUCGUCACCUUCUAUCAAUGAAUUUACAGUUGUACGUGUACAUGAGUAAGAAUUCCAACAACCAAUCAAAUUAAUGAUGCCUUCCUGGCCAGGCAGUGUUUUAAGGAUAUGCGGGACGAUGAUCACGUGAUGAUUGCGAAUUUAUUAUAAAUUUAGAACCGGACGCAGGGUAGUUAAAUUUUCCCGAGAAAAAUCACAAUGCUCUACAGACACACUAUAUGACGUCACAAUAAAAAAGUACGCCACGACGUUGUAUCGCGGGGAAAAUGUCAUCAUAUUUUGUCGUAAUAGGGUCUGUAAGUCUCGUCAUGUAAUUGCCGAGAUUUAGCGAUAUUAUUAACUUCCGGGUACAUCAACAUCUCAGAUUGCAUGGUGUAGAGAGUGGUAUACAUAGAUAUAGCGUUAUCAAUCGAUUGUGUGGAGGUUUUAACGAGAUAAACAUGGGAAUUGAACCCUUAGUGGAGUCGUCGAGGAUUCUUGGCUUCGUGUUUGACGAAUUACGUGUAAUAACCGCCAGUGUACAACAUCGACGAGGGUACGUUUUGUAGAUAGAGAGCAGAUAUGCCUUGCAUCUGAGGAUAAAGGUGUUGUGCAUUGUGCAGUCAUCAUUAAUGUGGAUGUCUGAUGCCAGUAUGCCCAUAAUAGGGCAGUAUAAGUUUCGAUCUUCAUAUGGCAGCAAAUUUUCAUAGGCAGUUGGAUAAAACAUCCAAAGUCGGCACAGUCAAAGGUCACAACAACAAUGGAGGAAUUAAUUGCAUCCUCAUUCCGCAGGGCAACAGGACGUUUUCAGCAACCCCUGAAAUUCUUAAUUGAGGCCAAGUGCCCAUUUUCAGCUCGAACAAUGCAAUUGUUGGGAUUUCCCUCUUGAAUGUGAUGCAAGGGAUGGUUGCCUGCACCUCAAAACAAAAUUUGAAUAUUGGCAUCAGAUUCAAGGACAACAACACCUGAAAGACACCCAAUGCUGUGAUUUGCUAGUGUGGAUUCCUAGUGACACUCAUAUAAUUCACAUUGACAAAGAUGUAUCAUGGUCAACUUUUUAAGCGUGAUAGAGUUUAAUUAUAAUAAUGAAGUAUUUUUGCAGUCUAAAUCACACACACAUAACCACAUGUACAUAUACUUUAUUAUGAUAUCAGUGGUGCAUCUAUCAAAGUUAUGUAAUUACAUGUAUAUUUAUUGAAUAAACAUUAUAGACAGAGUU